GCUUCGUAGUCGAGAGGGAAACAGCCCAGAUCACCAGCUAAGGCCCCUAAGCGUGUGCUAAGUGGAAAAGGAUGUGGGGUCGCUUAGACAACCAGGAGGUUGGCUUAGAAGCAGCCACCCUUUAAAGAGUGCGUAAUAGCUCACUGGUCAAGUGGUUCCGCGCCGACAAUGUAGCGGGGCUCAAGUACACCGCCGAAGCUGUGACAUUCACACAAUAACCCCGCCCAGUUCUCUUGAAGUCUGGGUGCAGGUGUGUGGGUGGGUAGGGGAGCGUCGUGCCGCGGGUGAAGCAGCCGAGUGAUCGAGUUGUGGACGCGGUGCGAGUGAGAAUGCAGGCAUGAGUAGCGAAAGAAGGGUGAGAAACCCUUCCGCCGGAUGACCAAGGGUUCCAGGGCCAGGCUAAUCCGCCCUGGGUGAGUCGGGACCUAAGGCGAGGCCGAGAGGCGUAGUCGAUGGACAACGGGUUGAUAUUCCCGUACCCGCGAAAGAGCGUCCCUGACGAACUUCAUUGUGCUAACCACCCGAACCCGGGGAGGUCUUCGGACCGAGCUGGGGGAGCGUGGGAACCUGGUGGGUAGUAGUCAAGCGAUGGGGUGACGCAGGAAGGUAGCUGAUCCCGGCCGGUGGUUGUGCCGGGGUAAGCGUGUAGCCCGCAUCAUAGGCAAAUCCGUGGUGCAUACAGGGUGAGACGUGAUGCCGAGCCGAUUCAGGUGAAGUCAGUGAUCCUAUGCUGCCGAGAAAAGCCUCUAGCGAGUUCUUAGCGGCCCGUACCCCAAACCGACACAGGUGGUCAGGUAGAGAAUACCGAGGCGAUCGGGCGAACUGUGGUUAAGGAACUCGGCAAAUUGCCCCCGUAACUUAGGGAGAAGGGGGGCCGGACGCGUGAAGCCCCUUGCGGGUGGAGCGUGGUAUGGCCGCAGAGAGCAGGGGGAAGCGACUGUUUACUAAAAACACAGGUCCAUGCGAAGUCGUAAGACGAUGUAUAUGGACUGACGCCUGCCCGGUGCUGGAACGUUAAGGGGACCGGUUAGUCCGCAAGGGCGAAGCUGAGAACUUAAGCGCCAGUAAACGGCGGUGGUAACUAUAACCAUCCUAAGGUAGCGAAAUUCCUUGUCGGGUAAGUUCCGACCUGCACGAAUGGCGUAACGACUUCCCCACUGUCUCAACCACAGGCCCGGCGAAAUUGCAGUACGAGUAAAGAUGCUCGUUACGCGCGGCAGGACGGAAAGACCCCGGGACCUUUACUAUAGCUUGACAUUGGUAUCCGAAUGUAAUUGUGUAGGAUAGGUGGGAGCCGGUGAAGCUCGGACGCCAGUUCGGGUGGAGGCAAUCUUGAAAUACCACUCUGUUGGAUUUGGGUAUCUAACUUGCGGCCCUGAUCGGGUCGAGGGACAGUGUCUGGUGGGUAGUUUAACUGGGGCGGUUGCCUCCUAAAGGGUAACGGAGGCGCCCA
rnacentral:rRNA from 1 species